GAAGGUUUUGUUGUGUUUUAUUUACAAUUCAAUUCCUUUAACAUAUAGGGCCAUUCAAGUUAUUUCUGCCCAAGUGAUCUUCGAUUCAUCCUGUCUCCAAGGAGUUUGUCCGUUUCAUCCGGGCCGCCAAAUGUUUCGACCUGAAGUAGUUCAUGAUGUCUCCCUAUUAUCUUUGUAAUAUCUGUAGAAUCCGCAGUGGCGUCACCUGUCUUGUUCCUAACAUUGAGAGCUAUGGCUAAGGGGUCAGCCCAGCUUGACUGUCGUUCUGCCUCUGCUACUCAUGAUGGCGCCCGCAUCCCCCUUGCCUCUGACGGCUGAGAGCCACCGCCCGGCAGUCCCAGGUCCCCCUCGCCUCUGAUGGCUGAAAGCCACCGCUCAGCUGUCCCG
rnacentral:lncRNA from 1 species